CUACACAAAUUAAACGAGAAGGAAACAUGAAAAAGUAAGGCCAGUGUUUUGUGCAUGUUUAUAAUAACAAGUCAGAGAGAAGAAGAACCAUAUCAAUAUAACUUUUUCUGUGGAAUAUCUGAAAAGCCAUUCUUAAUUGAUUAACAGUGAUAAAUCAGAUACAAAGAAGGGUUAAUUUCAACGCUCUCGCACACACAUCUAUAACUGGUUAUGAGGUUGAUGAAAAUGGAGUGGCAUUAUUUGCAUCUGGUUAUGAGGUUGAUGAAAAUGGAGUGGCAUUAUUUGCAUACUUCUUCAAGUUGGGUCGGAGUUUGUUAACCCAACGGAGACGGCACGACUUGCCAGUACGUUGCAAGAGACCUUUGGAUCGAAUGGAGCUCCAGUCUCUAGGGCCAUAUUUGUUGACAUGGUUUAUCAAAACCUCAUCUUCUUCUGCCUUCCAUGGCCCUUUCUUUAUCGCACCCAUAUCAUCACAUAACAUUCUUUUCCUCCCAUCCAUUCUCUAUCAACAUCAAUUCGCUCUUCACCACACACAUACACAUAAAAAUAAAAUAUGCAUGCAAAAAUCUUGUCUUUUUGAGAAUUUUCCAGUAGAUUUUUUGUCUCUGGAGUUCUGUCUUUCUUUUGUCAAUUUUAAAUGAGCAAGAGACCUUUGGAUCGAAUGGAGCUCCAGUCUCUAGGGCCAUAUUUGUUGACAUGGUUUAUCAAAACCUCAUCUUCUUCUGCCUUCCAUGGCCCUUUCUUUAUCGUACCCAUAUCAUCACAUAACAUUCUCUUCCUCCCAUCCAUUCUCUAUCAACAUCAAUUCGCUCUUCACCACACACGUAUACACAUAUAUAUAAAAUAUGCAUGCAAAAAUCUUGUUUUUUUGAGAAUUUUUCGGUAGAUUUUUUGUCGCUGGAGUUCUGUCUUUCAUUUGUCAAUUUUAAAUGUUAUUGGCGUGGGGGGUGGUGUAGUGACGGUUAGGAGCGGUUAUUGGCAUUAUCUGUCCACUUUUUAAUCCACGUUCUAUUAUUCUUUUGAAUUCAAAUUCAGUCCCCGGAAUUUCAAAAUUAUGCUGGCAGCCCUGAAAAUGAAAGAAAAUAUUUAAAAGACUGAAUUGUAGUUAAUACGUUAAAAAAAUGUUCAAUUUUGUGUUUAAAGUAAAUAAUUUUAAUAUUUAACUGUUUUUUUUUUUUUUUUACAGUACUAAUUUAUUGAUUAUAUUUUAUUGGUUUAAUGACUAUUUUGAUAUUUGUAGGAUUGGAUUAUAUAUAUUAUUUGCUAAAUUGUUAGAAUAAUUAUUAAGUCUCUGAAUAAAAUAGGUUUCAUUUAUUUGGCAAUUUAAUAAGUGCUUUUAAGAUUAUAUUGUAUUCAGUUAUAUAAAUAGAAUAAGUGUACUAAGUUAAUUUUUGUUCUAAAUUAUUCAUGUUUGACAAACAUUAAAAAAAAAAAUUUCUUUAUCAAACUCAUUUUUAACCACACAUUCUCAUAAUAAAAUAGUUUAUACGUAAGCUCAAAACUUUCUUUAAAAUAAAAUUAAAAAAAAAACUAUUUCAAAACUUAUUUUCCCUACUAAUAAAAAAAAAUAAAAAAAAAGGGCACUCACUAUUAUCAUUGUCAAUCAGGGCUAAGUUCUUUAAUAAUUUUUUAGUAAUCCAUUAUUUAAUAUAAUUUUUUCUAUUUGAAUGAAUUUUAACAUAAAUUCUUUGACAUUUAAUAUUUGCUCAUCUGUAUACUUUCUUAUUAUUUAACUGAUUUUUUUAAUUUUUUUUUUUUAAAUGUUGUUAAAUUAGCAAGGUUAUUUGAACGAUUUUAUCAAUCAAACUGGAGAAGACAAUCACUCAUUUACUAUGAAAAUAAGCAAUAUUUCCUUUAUAAAUAUAAAAUACUUAACCCUUGUUUGGUAUUGUUUAAAAUCUUUAUUUUAAUUUAAUUCAAAGUCAACAAUUAAUUUUAAUCACUCAUUUUAUGGGAUCCAUAAUUUUUCAACUACACAUUUCAUCAAAAUCUACUAAAAAUCUAAUUUUAAUCACCACCAAACAGGGGUUUAUAAGUACAUUCAAGCAUGAACAUUUUUUUCCUUAAAAAAAAAAAAAGAAAGAAAGAAAAAGAUGAUUUUUUUUUUUUUCAAAUUUACUUAUAAUUAAAUUUAACUUACGUAUAAACGGAGUCAAACAUACUUUGAGACACAAAAUGUUUGGACCGUAGCCCCAUAGAAAAUAAAAUUUUUUUAGUUAAAAAAAUACUUAUAAAUCACAUUUUGACAAAAAUUACUUAUAAAAUAUGUUAAAUGUAUUAUUUAUCAAGAUGCUUAUUUUAUUUACUUUUUAUGUAAAUUCACCUACAGGUAAACUAAUUUUCUUAUUUGUGAAAGUUGAAAAUAAAUAAAAUAUUUAUUUUGAGGUAAGGCAAAGAUUAUUUUCAAAAAAAAUGUAACCUUUCCGAUUUCCCGAAAAUAAAAAAUAACAUUAUAUUGGACAAUGCUUCCACUCAAUCACAUAAUCUACACCAUCUUUUCCACUUGCUCACAUGACAAUACACAAUUGAACAAUUUCACGCAAUCAAUUGUAUAUACAAAAAAGAGUACAAAUGACAUUGUCCAACGAAUUAAACAAUUACACUUGUAUGUAGAAUGGUUUCGGCUCUUGCUGCCUAAAGGGGCUAGUGAUCGAUAUAUUAUUGAUCUCUUCAGUUAGGGAUUUGGAUUUGGGAGAAGCGUGCGAAGCGAGAACUGGAAAAAUUGUGAGAUGAAUAAGUUGAAAAUUCGGUGAAACUUAUAAUCAGUUGUAUAUACACUAGCCCAAACCUAUAUCUAGAAGGAAAAGGAAAUAUAUUGUCCUAUUAUUACAUUAAUUUCUAACGAGACUAGAAUAUAAGAUAUAUGCAUUAAUUCCUUAACUAUUGUUCUAUUUUAAAUGGUUUGCUUGUUGUCCACUUGAUCAACCCUACUGGGGUAAAAUUACAAGCUUGCAGCUCGGAAAUUCCAGCUCUCAUUUGCCUUCCAAUCAGCCAUUAAGGCAAAAUUCGAGUCCAUGAAUGGUGUCAACUCCUCAAGUGGCUCGAGUCCAUAAAUUAUGUUACUUCUGAAGAACUGGAUUGAUACUAGCACAAGCACAAAAGUAGCGUGGUGAAAAAGGUCGAUCAUUUUCUUAUAAAGCCCAUGUUCGGUUCUCGUUUUCUAAAACUCAUUUUAAUCACGCAUUUCAAGGAAUUUACAACUUUUUAUCAGCUUUUCAACUUCAUAUUUCAUCAACUUUUAUCAAAAUCUACUUUUUAGCUAAACCAAGAAAAAAAUGAGACUGUAAAUCCGGAGAAUAUCAGGAGUGAUACGAGCAAAGGCUAUAAUUUCAAGUCUAUUAAUGAACAACAAAUACAAUCGAUGAGGAUGCACUGCCCACAGGUCGGAACUUGGACCCACUCAAAAUACAUGCGUAUAUGUGCUCCUAUGUGAAUAUACACAUACAAAUAUAUUCACAUACAAAAUGACACGAAUGCAAAAUUGGCAUCAGGUGAGUCUUCCAUACCCUUCGUAUUUUGCGUACAGUUCAUUUUCAUGCAUUUAGGAUCGUUGUCGUUGGAGAUUGCACUUAGUGCAAGGUUUCCACUAUCGAUCUGGCCCAGAUGCUAAAACCACGUUUUCAGCAAUCAUCCGCUUUGCACUUGGUUACGAAGCUCCUAUUUGACAACCAUCAUUUGAAAACUCAUUUUCAACUAAAUAUUCACACAAUAAGAUAUUUUGCACAUAAACUUAAAAUUUUUCUCAGCUUUUUAAUUACACAUUCUCCUAAAAAUCACUAUUCAAAACAUUAUUUUUAUUUUUUGCAAAUAAUGGUUGUCUAACAGGGACUUGACAUUUACCAUGGAUACAAUAACUAGUGCACUAGAAGUGCGUUUUUCCCAAUCCUCUCGUGCGAGGAAAAAAGGUCCUUAUUUCAGUUUAUCCCUUUAAUACAACACAAUACCAUCCAAUCCUCCUACAUAGCGUACCAAAAAUGUCAUCCCCAUUUUUUUUUUUUUUUUUUUAUUUAUCGAAACCUUUCGCUUUAGACGCGCCUUGAACAUUCUUCAAUGUAAAAUCAUAAACCUGCACAAAUCUCUCUAGACCACACAUUUUGCUUCACAAGCUUAUUAAUUUCUAACAAGAUUUCUAUAGAUUUAAUUUAAAUUUUACGUGUUAACUAAUGGAAAAGAUAAAAUAUUCUUCAAAAUAUAUUUUAAAACUCAAUCAAGGCAAUUUUACCUCUGAUAGAAACAAUUAUACCCUAUUCAUGUAGAAAUACUGAGAUCAACUGGUCUCUUUUCAUUUUAAAAAACAUCCAAAUUAGGCAACUCAAUCAAUGAAAAUAUGCUAAAAUGCAUUAAAAAAGUGUCAUGGCUUGCUCAAAAGAAUGUAAAUAGAAAAGGAAAAUAUUCACCAAAUAAAUAAUAAUAAACCACCAAAAGUCACCACAAUGUAGGCAGUGAAAAUAAUAGCCAUAAAAAUCACUCGAGAGUUCAAUUUUAGUUCUCAAUUCCAAAACAAUAAAAUUCGUUUAGAAUCAAAACUCACAAUGGCUAACAGCACAUUUAUUGUUCUAUAUAAUUGAACCCUAGGCAACACCAUCUAUUUUGCUCGGCCUUCAAGUAAAAGAUUACACUUUCAGGGUGGAAGAGAGUAAUUAAUAAACAUAGACACCUUUUCUAUCAAAACUUCGAUGAACUUUUGGACUGUAACCUACCCAAGGAACCUUAAGAAAGUUACUUUUAAACCCCAGGUACAAGGCAAAAACAUGAAACAAACUCAUCGAAUAAGAAGAUAUCCUUCUCUUCCACGUUUAGCCUGGGGAGAGAAGAAUCUGAAAUUUUAAAUAGCACAUCCCUAUACAGCAAAUUGAAUUCUCCGGGCCAUGCUUCUCCUUAGUUCCCGAUAAAAUGGUAUUUCACAAAGUCAAUCCAUUGAAAGGACAGGAGGUAUGAAAAGCUUUGAGCUGUAAUGAGAAUACAUAUGUUGGUAAAUACUAUCAAAAAAGGCUCCUAUGUGAAACGUGGGCUCCCUACAACCAACUCAAAAUGACAACAAUACAAGUGCUGAUGAUGUUUUGAAGAGGCUAUUCAUUGGAGAUGUACUUGCUCAGCAGAAACACGAAAUACUGAAGGAAUAUUAUACUUGAUACUUCAAUAGCUUGUCCUUCACGGGUGGCUCCAAGGUAGACAUACAUUGUUCCCAUGCUCCGUUUUUUAGCAUCUGGCAAGAAUGUCAUUGAUUUAAAAAUGUAUUAAUUAUGUAUCUCCUCAAAUAGCGAACAGAAUACUUGGGGGCAUAUAGGUGAUUUGAACGUCCACACUCCCCAUAUGAGUGGAAUUUGAUUGCGGUUAGCAUCUUGGGAACCACUUGAUCAUCAAAUAUAUGCUCCCCCACAAAGAAUAACUAGCUUCAAAUAUUGGUUCCUUAUUCACACUUUCUCCGUCCUUUCCUGCAAUUUUGGUGCUAGUAAGGUUGAGUGCUUUUUUUUUUUUUUUUUUUUUUUUCAUUUUCCUUUUCCAUGGUGGCAGGGUAUAGCAGGUGAAGAAGAUGUUCAAAUACAGUGCUCAACUAGAAUAUCUUUUGCAAAGUAAUUUGGUUCAUAGCUAUCAUUAUUGUGGCCAGGUACGAGCUAGAGAUACUAAAACUAAGCCAUAAAAGAAGUAACUGUCUGUCUCCAAACAUGGUUGGAAGACCUACUUGCUUCUUACUCUUUAAGCUAUACAAAUUACCUUUAUUUCAAUGUAAUAAGUAAACUUCAACUUUAACCAAUAAAGAACAUUUAUUUUAAAGCUAACUAUUCCUUUAUAAGUAAACGUUCUGAGUCGUAGAGAACUGAAUAUAUCAAGGAGGAGCUGCUUACUUGUUUAUAGCCAUGCAAAACCUGGCAAAUUUCUUUGUGCAGAUCUUCACUCCUUAUUUCCUGUUAAGAAGAAUAAGAUAAUUAUUCAAUCAACUUAAUACAUAUUUCUUAAGAAGGCUUUAAUGAAAAGGGUGACAGCACGUCACUUACAUGCCAACUAGCAAUAGCUUUGCACAUGAAAACGAGAGAACUUAAAGCUCCAGAUGGGUUUGCUCUAACCUAAAAGACAUUGAUAACAUGAAAUGAAUGCCAAUAUAUGGUCGAAAUCCUGUCAUACAAGAAAACAAGUGCAUACCAUUGCACAUAAACCUCUGAAAGCAUCUUCCUUCUCGACAUCGUCCCGUAUCCUGUCACAAGUUUAUAAUAAGCAGAUAGAUUACAAAAUAAAAAAUUUGGUUACCUGGAAAAGGUUAAUUCUAAUAUCAAGUAUAUAACGUGACAAACUUUUGACGAAAUGAUUUUCCCAUACGUACUCCUUACCUAUGAUGCUCGGACUCAAGUAUGGAUAAGUAUCUAAGUGUUGGAUCCUUUAUUUUCUAAAAUAAAGGAUACAAGGAUAUGGUUAAAAAGAAUAUAAAUUUUAAAUCGGGUACUUGAGUACGUUUUUCAAGUUUCAAUUUUUUUACUAACCCAAGAUCUCAUUUUGAAUAGACCAAAAUCAAUUGUUCACAAAGAAGGAAAUAGUAUUGAAUAAGAGAUUAAGAUGAAUAAAAUAAAAUUUUGGGGUUUAGUUUUCAAUUAUGAGAAGUUAAUUACUAAAUGUUAUAUAAAAUAGAAAAUGAGGGACUUGAUUGCAAUUUGGAUUUAAUGGAGCAUUAAGUAGUAUUAUAUGGAACUCAAUUUCAAUUUAUACAAGCAAAACCUUAAGCCACCGAUACAAAGAGAGAAGGGAAAAAAAAAAAGAAGAAAAGAGAAGGGUAGGGAAAGGAAAAAGAAAGAAGAAGGGAAAAUCUAGUGUCGUCGCCUUUCUCCAACCUCUCAGAGGUGGCGCAAGGUUUAUAAAGAGUAGAAAAGGAAAAGAAAAAAGAAAGAAAAAGCAAAAAAGGGCGAAGUGUCUGGUUGAAAUUCGGCGGAUCCGACACAUAUCCUAACCCAUACCCAUGUCAUGUCGUAUCCGACACAGGUACUCCAACCAUUUUGAAGAGUCCGAGCAUUAGAGAUCAAAAUGCAUGGAAAGAUUACCCAUGUUGUACUAAGUAAUAGAAUGUCCUAAAAGCACAUCGAGGACUCCUAGGAUCUAACUUUUCCCGAUUAUGGCUAUGUACAUGAAUAAAGCUACACAAUCGAAAUUAAAAAUUUGGAUGAGAGAUUUGUAAAAAUGUUAGGAUAGGUAUUUAGCAGUAAGAACAGCUUUUUCCCAUAAAGUAUGUGUAGAAAAAGAACUUAAGUAUGUAUGGGAUAGAUUUCUUGAACCAAUAGAUUCACUAAAAUCAGUCUCCUUUCCAUGUUGAUAAUGUUCCUGGUAUGCAGGUUUUGAAAUUUACAAUAAGUAGAAAAAAAACAUAGCGACACAAUUAAGACUUUUAGUGAUUUUGCUAAUUGACAGAAGGUUGCAAGACAAUUUUGGAACAUGUAGUGUGUAGUAUGGCAAAAGAGAUUUUAAAAUAGGAAUACACCAUUUUCCCGCAAUAGAUGAGAGUGAACCACGUGAUCUGUUGGAACUAAGGAACAGACAAAUUUGAGUGGCUAGUCAUGUGAUCUGUGGUUCCUGAAUCAAUGACCCGAGAAUUACAUGUAAAGCUAGUGGCGUUUAAUCAAGUCAAGUGAGCAAGUGCACAAAUGGAUGAGAUAUUGCCAAUUUGAAACUAAUAAAAGAGGAAGCACAAUUGGGUUAAAAGGUGAUUUAUAAAUAAUUUGACAGCCAAGAAUUCAAUUGUAUUGGAACUAUCUGAAAUAGGAUUGAAAGAUGCAAGAAAUGGUCUAAAUUGGUGUAGAAUGGCCAGAAAAAAGAAGAAACGAGCAUUGAACAAGUAUAAAUCUACCCAAAAAAUGAUUGAACUUGAUUAACAAACAUCUGAACAAGCCUCGAAGACAUUUUAAGUGGGCUGAAAAUAGGGUGAAACGGACUUAAAAUUGCUUAACCAGCCUGAUAAGAGACUGAACUGCUUUGAGAUGUGCUGAACUGCUUUGAAAGUAGGCUAUUCCCCCACCUCAAAAUCAGCUGAAUUGCUCUGGAAUUUCAUGUUUAUAUAGUUUCUAAACCAUUUUUCUCCAAUUAAAAACACAAAGAAUAGGAUUUCGGCAUAAAUCAGCUGCCAAGAAGAUAAAAAUUCCAAAAAUUUGAGCUGGAAUGCAAAUUAGCAUGUGGCCUGCUCUAAUACCUUAUUAAAGCUUGAGGUUCUAUCUUAUAAAGUCAACCUUGUUAAAAGAGUAGCCUAAGCCCCCAUAUAUUGUACAUAUUAUAUCAUUAUUCCACGUGAGAUUAUUUAACGUAUUCCUACAAGAUGGUGGCUCAUUUGAGGAUGUCAGUAUUGAAAUUCAUGCGCUCGUUUAAGUCUUAGUUAGGAUGAAUUGCUUGUUGGAGCUAAAUGAGCUUCAGUACUAUAUGGUAAAAAAAAAAAAAAAGGAGAAAUAAUUUCUUGCUUCUUUGGUUUGUCAAUUUUUACAAGGUUCAAACACAUUGCUAUACAAUUAUAAAAGGAAAGAAAUAAAUGGUCUAAUCUAUAGCUAUACAAUCCCCAUAAAUCUAUCUAUUCUAUUGCUAAACCCUCCCCAUGGAUACUUCAUAAUCUAUUCCAUAUUUAAUGCACAAUCAUUGACCAAACCAGAUUCUGCGAAUGUGGACAGAUUUUAUGAGUGGAAAUACAGCUAAUUACAGCUAUUUUUCCAUAGUCUCAGUAUAAAUUGUUUUCAUGUUUUCUUCUCACAGAGGAUGCACAUUGUUAUAAUACAUCUUCAAGUUAUGCUAAAGGGUACAUUCUUGUUUGUUUGUGUUGGUCUGUUGGAAUAAGGCAGGUUGUGUGAAAAAUGGCCAUAUCAUUGUUCUUAAUCGUCGUUUUUGCUUUUCCAGGAGAAGGAGUUGGAUCUGUAGUCUCUAGAUUCGUGCAGGAGGCCGAUAUGGUAUAUGAUGUUGCUUAUUGUGGAUAUUCACACUCAAAAAGACCAAUAUUUUUCAGUGAAAAUCAGUCUUUUACUGCUGGAGACUUUGUGGGUUCACACCAAGGCCAAGUUGGCAUAAAUUUUACCCAUCGCAAUACAGAAUCUAAUGAUCAUUUAGACAAACUAAAUUGAUGUACCCCUCAAUCAUUAUUUUUGGUAUUAGACUGCAGGUGUUGUUCUCGAUUUGCUGCCAUUGCAAAAGCUUUUGUUGGUUUUCUGAUGAAAAUAAAUGCUGAUUUGGUGGUUUAUCAUUGUCAUUGACAAAGUACUAGAAUGCUCUGUGACUGUUAUGAAAGUAAGUUCAGACUUCCAGAUUUUUUUUCUAGAAAAUAAUGGAAAAUGAUGUUUCAACUUUUUGUGCUGUGGGAUAUAAUUUUUAGUAUGAGAACAAUGUUCUGUCUUCAGUCUGUGUUCCAUUUUCUUAGGAAUAAGUGAAUGUUUGGUAUGUAUGUGAAUGAGAUUUUAACUUCUUUUUCCAGCCUAUGAAACAUAGCAUACCUUUUCUAAAUGUAAUGAACCGAAUUUAAGUGAAGGAAAAGCAUUAACUUUACGAAAGAAAAAUGUCAUAGAAUAGAUCUCUACAUUUAGCUGUUAAACAAGCCUCAAUCCAUGAGGCACUACCUGUUAGAAAGGUGUCUUGGUACAAAAGAAAUAGAGACAACUAGCCAAUAAUGUUGGUGUACUUUUUAACUAUGAAGUCAAGAAUCUAAUUACUGAAGUAGUUCUCAGGAUUGGCUCAUCACCAUUGUGAUGGACUUGGAAGUGGAUCAAGAUGAUCGAAUAUGUCCAUGGGAGGGAAGUCAUCAAUGAAGCUGUCCGGUGUUACAAUGUUUUGAUUUUCUCCUUGACUUGGAGUAUGAGAGCCUCCAUCUGGUCCAAAACAGGAUGGCAAGAUAGGAAGUUGUCCAGUGCCCAGUUCAGAACCACUACAUUGUCCAAAAACAUCAUAAAAAUUAGGAUCUCCGAGCCUAGUGAUGAAGUCUUGGUUUUCUACUGGUAAAGAAUAAUCUGGCUGGAGUUGUAGAAUCUGAGGAAAUGGGAGUUGUAACUGCUGUUCUUCAUAUGAUUGCUUGUCAACGGCCGGAUUGAACUCAAUUUGAUGUGGGCUAUGUUCAAAAUUCAGCGAACCGGGAUACAUUAACCCUUGUAAAGGCACCAUUUUGAUUGUCUCAGAAUCAUCAAUAUAUGGUGAUGAGCAAGAUCGUGACUUGAUUAUUGAUUCUUCCUCUCUCAACAUGCUGAAUAUUGGUGCCUGAGAUUGAAAACAAUUAGAUAAUUUAGAUAACCCAAUAACUUUAUAUGACUCGUGUAAGGGUCUAAGCAGCCAGAGGAGAACCGGGAAUUAUACUACGUUAAUCCUCAUCACGACUACUUGUUCGACGCUUGUUUCAUGGGUCUUAGGUGGGAACUUGAAGAAUUUUUAUCCUAUUAAGCGCAUUUAGCAUAUUUUAUCAUAAUAGCAAAAGUGAGUAGAACUGACUCCAUUGUGUUUGCUGCCACAGAUCUCAAUGGUUAUACCACUUGCUUAACGCUAUACUUUGAUUCUGCCUCGUUUGAUAGAAAAUAGGCUCUAAUAUUCUCCAUAAACAUGAUAUUGUCGUAAAAACCAGUGGUUGAUUAGCCAAAGAACUUUUCUCAAUCCACCCAUUAUAAUCAGAUGCAUGCUCUUUGCUGAGGAAUGAAAUCAGGGACAAUGCUGAAGCGACCUUGGGUUAUUUGCCAAUUCGAACACAUUAACAUCAUAAUCUGCAACGUGUACAAAAUUCAAAAAAGACUUGGAUAGUGGAUAAACUUAUUGCCUUAUAAACUUUACCAGAGGAUUAUUAGUAGAAUCCACAGUAUUAGGCUCUUAGAGUUGGAAAACAUGUUACGGAACAAAAAGUAAAAAUGGAGAAAUAGGGUUUCCUGAAAGACCUGGUUCGAAAUGACUACAAACAUAGUCAACUAAAAACUGCUGAGAAUGAAUAACCUCACCUCCACAGAGGGAAGAUCAUGAAGAGAAGAACCUUGUUCACAUAGAAACAGAACCCGAAAAGAACAUUCUUUUACUAGAGUUUGUGGUGUGAAAAGGGAAAAAUAGGAUGUCCUACAGACCUGUCUUGAAAAGCCAGGAAUGGAAUCAACCAAAGAUUGGUGAGAAUGAAUGAAAUUUUGCUUACCUCCAAAGAGGGAACACCGUCAAGAAGAGGAGGGACUUGGAUUUCCUUGUUCUUCCUAGGCUUGCUGCCGCAUGGUGGUGCAGAUGUCUGCAGAAUCCUUGCCAGCCUCUUCUGUCUGCUACUCCAAAAAUUCUUAACAUCAUUGUCUGUUCUUCCUGGCAAAUAUGUGGCUAUUUUAGCCCAUUUGUUACCAAAUUGUGCUUGAAGAUCUAUCACUGUUCUCUCCUCCUCUGCCGAAAACUUCACCCCACUACACAAAUUAAACGAGAAGGAAACAUGAAAAAGUAAGGCCAGUGUUUUGUGCAUGUUUAUAAUAACAAGUCAGAGAGAAGAAGAACCAUAUCAAUAUAACUUUUUCUGUGGAAUAUCUGAAAAGCCAUUCUUAAUUGAUUAACAGUGAUAAAUCAGAUACAAAGAAGGGUUAAUUUCAACGCUCUCGCACACACAUCUAUAACUGGUUAUGAGGUUGAUGAAAAUGGAGUGGCAUUAUUUGCAUCUGGUUAUGAGGUUGAUGAAAAUGGAGUGGCAUUAUUUGCAUACUUCUUCAAGUUGGGUCGGAGUUUGUUAACCCAACGGAGACGGCACGACUUGCCAGUACGUUGCAAGAGACCUUUGGAUCGAAUGGAGCUCCAGUCUCUAGGGCCAUAUUUGUUGACAUGGUUUAUCAAAACCUCAUCUUCUUCUGCCUUCCAUGGCCCUUUCUUUAUCGUACCCAUAUCAUCACAUAACAUUCUCUUCCUCCCAUCCAUUCUCUAUCAACAUCAAUUCGCUCUUCACCACACACGUAUACACAUAUAUAUAAAAUAUGCAUGCAAAAAUCUUGUUUUUUUGAGAAUUUUUCGGUAGAUUUUUUGUCGCUGGAGUUCUGUCUUUCAUUUGUCAAUUUUAAAUGUUAUUGGCGUGGGGGGUGGUGUAGUGACGGUUAGGAGCGGUUAUUGGCAUUAUCUGUCCACUUUUUAAUCCACGUUCUAUUAUUCUUUUGAAUUCAAAUUCAGUCCCCGGAAUUUCAAAAUUAUGCUGGCAGCCCUGAAAAUGAAAGAAAAUAUUUAAAAGACUGAAUUGUAUUUAAUAUUUUAAAAAAUAUUCAAUUUUGUAUUUAAAGUAAAUAAUUUUAAUAUUUAACUGUUUUUUUUUUUUACAGUACUAAUUUAUUGGUUAUAUUUUAUUGGUUUAAUGACUAUUUUGAUAUUUGUAGGAUUGGAUUAUAUAUAUUAUUUGCUAAAUUGUUAGAAUAAUUAUUAAGUCUCUGAAUAAAAUAGGUUUCAUUUAUUUGGCAAUUUAAUAAGUGCUUUUAAGAUUAUAUUGUAUUCAGUUAUAGAAAUAGAAUAAGUGUACUAAGUUAAUUUUGUUCUAAAUUAUUCAUGUUCGACAAACAUUAAAAAAAAAAAGUUUUUUCUUUAUCAAACUCAUUUUUAACCACACAUUCUCAUAAUAAAAUAGUUUAUACUUAAGCUCAAAACUUUCUUCAAAAAAAACUAUUUCAAAACUUAUUUUCUUUAAAGUUUUUUUUUUUAAAAAUAGUUUUGAAUGUUGUUAAAUUAGCAAGGUUAUUUGAACGAUUUUAUCAUUCAAACUGGAGAAGACAAUCACUCAUUUACUAUGAAAAUAAGCAAUAUUUCCUUUAUAAAUAGAGAAUACUUAACCCUUGUUUGGUAUUGAUUAAAAUCUUAAUUUUAAUUUAAUUCAAAGUCAACAAUUAAUUUUAAUCACUCAUUUUAUGGGAUCCAUAAUUUUUCAACCACACAUUUCAUCAAAAUCUACUAAAAAUCUAAUUUUAAUCUCCACCAAACAGGGGUUUAUAAGUACAUUCAAGCAUGAACAUUUUUUUCCUUAAAAAAAAAAAGAAAAAAAAAUUUACUUAUAAUUAAAUUUAACUUACGUAUAAACUGAGUCAAACAUACUUUGAGACACAAAAUGUUUGGACCGUAGCCCCAUAGAAAAUUAAAUUUUUUUAGUUAAAAAAAUACAUAUAAAUCACAUUUUGACAAAAAUUACUUAUAAAAUAUGUUAAAUGUAUUAUUUAUCAAGAUGCUUAUUUUAUUUACUUUUUAUGUAAAUUCACCUACAGGUAAACUAAUUUUCUCAUUUGUGAGAGUUGAAAAUAAAUAAAAUAUUUAUUUUGAGGUAAGGCAAAGAUUAUUUUCAAAAAAAAUGUAACCUUUCCGAUUCCCUGAAAAUAAAAAAUAAUAUUAUAUUGGACAAUUUUUCCACUCAAUCACAUAAUGUACACCAUCUUUCCCACUUGCCCACAUGACAAUACACAAUUGAACAAUUUCACGCAAUCAAUUGUAUGUACAAAAAAGAGUACAAAUGACAUUAUCCAACGAAUUAAACAAUUACACUUGUAUGUAGAAUGGUUUCGACUCUUGCAGCCUAAAGGGGCUAGUGAUCGAUAUAUUAUUGAUCUCUUCAGUUAGGGAUUCGGAUUUGGGAGAAGCGUGCGAAGCGAGAACUGGAAAAAUUGUGAGAUGAAUAAGUUGAAAAUUCGGUGAAACUUAUAAUCAGUUGUAUAUACACUAGCCCAAACCUAUAUCUAGAAGGAAAAGGAAAUAUAUUGUCCUAUUAUUACAUUAAUUUCUAACGAGACUAGAAUAUAAGAUAUAUGCAUUAAUUCCUUAACUAUUGUUCUAUUUUAAAUGGUUUGCUUGUUGUCCACUUGAUCAACCCUACUGGGGUAAAAUUACAAGCUUGCAGCUCGGAAAUUCCAGCUCUCAUUUGCCUUCCAAUCAGCCAUUAAGGCAAAAUUCGAGUCCAUGAAUGGUGUCAACUCCUCAAGUGGCUCGAGUCCAUAAAUUAUGUUACUUCUGAAGAACUGGAUUGAUACUAGCACAAGCACAAAAGUAGCGUGGUGAAAAAGGUCGAUCAUUUUCUUAUAAAGCCCAUGUUCGGUUCUCGUUUUCUAAAACUCAUUUUAAUCACGCAUUUCAAGGAAUUUACAACUUUUUAUCAGCUUUUCAACUUCAUAUUUCAUCAACUUUUAUCAAAAUCUACUUUUUAGCUAAACCAAGAAAAAAAUGAGACUGUAAAUCCGGAGAAUAUCAGGAGUGAUACGAGCAAAGGCUAUAAUUUCAAGUCUAUUAAUGAACAACAAAUACAAUCGAUGAGGAUGCACUGCCAUGAAAGGCAGCAGUUGGUUUUUGUUGCAACACAAUGAACCAAAAAAAAAUUAAUAAUAAUAGCCUUUUUUCUGGCCGACUUGUCCUAUGAUCUCUUCUUAGUCUGUAUCCUCAACCCAGGGGGUGUCGUCUCCUGCACAUAUACAAGUUAAACAAUGAAGCAACAAAACAGAUGGAUAAAAAUUGACCUGGUAAUUGGUUCAUUUAUACUGUAAAAGAAAUGCUCUCGAGAAGAUUAUGGCUGUCUGCACUAAUUGAUCCCCCAUAAAUUUUGAUCACUAUGUCAAAGAACAUUAGGAUUAGCCCCUAUUUGGGCUCCAUUAAAAUGAGAUCUUGGGAGAAAAUGUGUUUUCGAAUAGUCAUUUUUUAAUGAUUGUGUGGUUAAAAAAAAAAGGAAAAGUUUUGGGUUUGUGUGUAAUAUUAUUUUGUGGGAGAACGUGCUGGUUGAAAUGAAUUUUGAAAAAAUGGAGCUCAAAGGGGCCAAGUGUGGCUCUCUCUCAGGGGAUGACAUGUUUGCGUCGCUAAGAUUUUAAAGGUGAGGAAAUAUGUGGGGAUUGAUAUAUCCACCUGUGAACAGCACUACACCCCACUUAUUCCAAGAGGCAAAAAAGGUCAAAAGAAACAAAAUGUCGUACCAAGAAUUUUGAAGCAGAAUCCUGAAGAAGUGAAAGUCUAAUCUGUUACCUUUUCGGCCGGCUUCGAUCUUCCUCGUAGUCCAUCACUACACCAUGUUCGGAAAAGAUCUCUUCAUGCCCUCGGAACUCGGCGUCGGCCUGCUUACAGUUUGUAACUUCUGCCAUAAUGUAAGUAAGACACAUCGACUAACAAUCCUGAGCAUGAUUAUAAACUAAUUCUUCAUUUUAAAAUAUUAACUGUGAAAGAUAACAAAGAAGAAAAUUGUGAUAUGGGGAUUGGUCAUCCAUUUAAUCCUCUUUCAUUUGAUUCAGAAGGCAUCAGUAAACCAGACUUACAAAAACUAUAAUACAGCAAACGUGCAAAGAACUUGCAUAAAAUAGGUCAAUCAAUAUGCUUACCUAUGAGAGAGAAUUCGGCUUAAUUAAAAAAAUUAAUUUAAAUAAACAAAUCAAAAUAGACCUGAACAUGAAACAAAAGCGCACACACAUCACAUAAGACACAGAGGGAGACUCCGCCAUGCUCCCACAUACAAUAUAACAGGUUUGAUCAUGCACACAUUUGGAUGAGGAAAUGGUUGUCGAGUUUUAAGUAACCUUUGACUAAAUUACUUUCAUUACAUCACCGCAUAGCAACUGAAAGUCAGGAGUUACACCAUGACAAUAAAACAGCAGUGUUAAAAAGAUAAGCAUGCAUAAGCUGACCUUGAAGGAUAGUGUCUUCUUCACUUCUUCCACCCUUUCUUCUACUCCCUUUCGGUGCUUCUUGUCCAUUUCACUCAUAUUAUCUGCCCAUCUGAUCUUCUCUUGAAUUGAGACAAGAAGAUUGUCUGACGUUGACAGCCUAAGAUAUGGUCAACCCAAGAAUUUAGUAAAAGAUUUAGAUACACGCGACAAACAAAAAUAAAAUAGAAAUAAAAAACAUAAAAAAAAUAAAAAAGAAGCACAACACACAUUAUACAGUGCUCUUAAAAAUCUCCAAUCUAAGGACUGUUGACCACCAGAUUAAUGCAUUUAAAUGCGUGUGAUAUUUUUAAGAGACAGGUCUCAAAUAUUUGGAAAUGUCACAAAGCAAAAAUACCCCGCAACUGUUUACUUGAGUCAUCUCUCAGACUUUAAAGAAGCUACUAAAUCUAAAAUAAAUAGUUCCACUGGUGUAGACAAAAGACUGGUCAAAAAAAUCACAAUGCUACAAACACACGCACACGCACUGUAGUAUCUCCUACAUACUAAAUAUGCUGGAACACAAAUAAGUUAAGUCAUUCCUGUAUACAAAGAUGAUACACAGGAAAAAAAUUAAGUCCUGCAUGCUAAAAUGACAUGGUAAGUCCUGCAUGCUAAAGCAGCCAAACAAGAAAUGGACAUGAGUUAUUUGAAAUGAUAAAGCACUACUACAAUAAUUAAGAAAUGAAUGAAACAUUUAACUCCCAAAACAGAGACAUUACCAGUCAGAUAUUGUCUGUAUCAUACUGCCCAAUUGUCCUGGCCUUAGAUCCCUCCCUGCAGCAAAUUGUACCUACAAGUUCACCAGAAUUAGAGUAGUUACCAAUUACCAGUUCCAACAGUCGGGUCUCCACAAGGUUAAAACAAGUGAUAAAAUUAAAGAAAGACCUCAAAACAUCUCCGCAACUGAUCCAGCUUCCCUCUGACUAUCCCCUGUGUGCAAAAGCAGCAACAGAAUCAACAUAUUUAUCAUUGCAGUUUCAUCUAAAAAGUCAAUGCCAAUCUUAUAGCAUAAGACAAUGCACAAAACAAAAGAAACCCCCCCCCCAGGGGGUCCCCCGCCGGGGGGGGGGGGGGGGGGGGGGGGGGGGGGGGGGGGGGGGGGGGGGAGGUAUUAAAUGACAGAAGUUAGUGAUGCUGCGCAAAAUAAUAAUAGGUCAAGGCAAUGAAAAGAAAACUUACCACAUACAUGCAGUCAUUAAUCAGAAAAUCUUCUAACUCACGAACAUUUUUAACAUCCAACUCCUGUAUCAAUACAUCAUAGGGCAAUACCUGGGCAAUGGCCAAAGAAAUGCUUAAGAGAACCAAACAAUUUUUGAAAUAGGAAAAUGGUUGUGAUGCCAAGUGAUAUAAUUACGAAAUUUGAAUGAUGAGGCAAAGAAUGAUCCAUAGAAAACAUAAUUACAAGGAUGACAUAUUUCACUACCAAUUCAUAUGUUCAACUGAACCUUUGUGUGCAGAAAUGUAACUAACCAGAAGCUUUCAAAUUUACCAAACAAGCACAAGCACAGAACACAUUUUUUUGCAAAAUUAAAAGGGAAAAUUUUAAUCAACUAAGUGAUAAGCCAAAAUAUUUACACAAAUUUCAUUGAAAUUUUAAAAAAGAAAUACAGAACAUGUCAAGGUAUGAUACCUUAUUUGUCUCAGCCAGGGUAAGCACAGUAAGCUGCUUCAACUUGAGGACUUGAUCAGGAACCAAUGGUGGAAGACGACUAGCAACGCCUGCAUCACAGCAUACAUUUUAGAGAAAGCCACAGAGAGAAUCUGACCUCUAUUAAACAAAAAAAAAAAAUUAUGAAUAUAUUGUAGAAGCACAUUAGCAUAUGCAUGAACAUCAAACAUAUGGAUACUUGUGAAAGAAACAUUUAGAAUAUGUUUAUGCAGGUUCAUUCUGAGACCUUUCCACCUUCAAAGAAUGGAACAAGCUUAAUAAGAGUUCUUAAACAUGAGAAAGGAAAUCUAUGAAAUCAUGGACUAGCUAGAACAAAAUCUUGAGAGAUAUAUUAACAACGACAACAUACUCCAAAAAAGAUCAGCCGGAUGAGCGGGUGUCUUGCUUGAUGUUAACACCAGGAAUCAAUAUAACAUUUCUCACACCACACAAGGCAGUAGGAUAAGUCUAUAAUUGCUAUCUACUUCAUAACUAGCCCAAUAAUUUCCGGUUCUUUUUGCAUUUUUCAUAAGAGUUUAAUUGGUCAUAAUAAUGCUGGAAACUUUGAAUCUCUUCAUAAAUUUCACAGAUUUGGAUAUAAAUCAAAAUGCAAAAAUAGAAGAGCAGGACAAACUCCAUAAUUUCAUUUAUAUACAGCAAAAAAGAUCAGACAGUCCUCAUUCAUGCUAUACAUGGAUGAUUUUCACUUUCCAGUCAGUGAAUCAGCUUAGAAUAUUCCUUCACUAAACUUUAAUUUCCAGAAGACAAGAUUCACUGGAAUCUAAAAUGUAUAGCAUCUUGUUUAAAACUAGAAGCCCAUAACAAAAUAAUUUAGAAGUUCCAACAAAAAGACAAACAGCUACUAACAUAUGUUGAAUUAUUUCUAAAAGUGUGUAUUAUAUUGGAAAUUUUACCUUGCUUGUGAAGUUAUUAAGCAACUUAUCUAAUGAAUAAUAAAAUAAUUCAAGCAAACUUAUUAUACAAGAAGUAAAAUACAUUUCUAUGCAAGUCAUCCAUAGAGAAAGAAGCUAGGUGAAGAGAUCUGAAGAUGCGUGGAAACAAUAAGUAGUGUAAAGAUAGAAAUAAGCCAAGAGUCUUGGAUAUAGAGCAAUUUUGGCAAAUAAACCCACAGCUAAGUUAUGAGCCCCACACAAAUGAGUGGUUACUUAAAUUGUAUCGGGAAUGGGUCCUGCACAAAGUAAAAAAUAAGGUAAACCCUACUUACGUGCCUUAUUUAAACCAACAAAAUUUUGUAGGUCCAUUGCCAAACAUGCUCAUAGCAUGAAGAGAUCAAAGUUGUCGCUCAAACUUUCUAUAACAGCAGAAUAACAUUAGAAACUAUUUUUGGCAGUGGUACUCAAUUCAAAGACCAACUAAUAUAUAUAAUAACAACAUUAAAAUAAAGGAACGUAAGGUUUCGCAAACUAUAUCAGCUUGGUCUCUUCUUAGUCUGUUGAAUGUAUAAAGCUUAUGAUUGGCUUUAAAACCAUUCUGAAGGAUGUUCUGGAUUAGCUUUUCAAAAUUUUUGGGAGCAAGGACCAUGUAAAUUAAGUGCAUGUGGUUCAAUAACUCCAAGUUAUUGUACUAUAAAUUUUCAUUGACACUCAUUAUGAAUUACGGAUGCCGAUGUGGUUAGGUUUCCCCAAGCUUAAAAGUUGUUAUGUAAGUACAUAAAUUAUAUUUUGGGUUUUGCGUUAGGAUAUUAAUCCAUUCACCAUGGAGAUAAAAUUCUACUCGUUCGUGUUAAGAUAAGAAAUCCAUACACGUGUGAUCCUAAAUAUAAAUAUAGGCAAAUUCACCCAAAUAAAUCUCUGAUGCGGGUCCACGUGCAUGUCUCCAUCAAUAGGCAUCAAGAGGCAUAUAAAUAAUACAUAAAGCAAUAUUGUGGUAAUGGCUUCAUUGCACGCCUUUCAGGUGCGCAAAAUAUAAACAUAAGUAAUGCUAUCAUAACAAUAUUCCACUACUAGUGAAAAUGUGGCAUCUUCACAAAAAGAAUGCCCAGAAUACAAAUACCAACUUGGGAUAGUAUAAUUCCUUUAUAUUUGGGGUCAAGAUCAUAGAUCCUGACAUGAAUAAUGCCCAGCACAGUGCAACUCUUGCCACUUUCAAGUGAAUAGAGUUGUCGCUCAUAAAAAAUAAAAAGUGAUUCAGCUCCAUUCCAGACUAGACAAUAUGACACUAGUAACUCUUGUAAUAUCAUAGUAAAAUGAAUGAAUUGGGCCAACUUCAAGCAACCUUGUGGAUACACAACCAUGAUAAAUGAUAAUACAAAAAUUAAAAUGCUUACUCUUAUACUCACUCCAUGUGCCAUGGGCAAACAUUCGAAGCAAAUCAAGAAAGGCUGCAUUCUCAGUUCCUUCGAGCUGCACAUGAAUCCAAUAGUUAAAGACGGAAAUAUAAAGAACAGAAAAAUAUGUCCCAUAUAAGCAUUAGAUGCAGAAAGAUUACCAAGCUGUAUCAAGAAAGGAAACUAAAUAUUUACUUGAGUAGCCUAUUAAAUAUUAAUGCAUAAUAUCGGUAAUAGUUGAACUCAAAACAUUGUAAACGUAAAAAUUCUUUCCCACAUAUCUGUCAAGUUAUCAUGUUCUCUUUCUUCACUCUAUUUAAUUGUCCUUGGACAUUCCCGAUACUACCUUUGGUGAGAGAGCUUUAGGCAGGUCUGUUUUGCCUUUUCUUUUGCCCUUCUGUCCUCCCCCUUGAUUCAUAUAUUUUCUGAUUUCUAAAAAGGUUAUGCCGGGUAACGAAGUGCUCUGUCUCAAUUGAGCAAGGAGUCACCUCAAGGCACUUUGAGGCAUAAACCAUGACUUAAACCAAUAAAAUAAUUUAAAAAAUUAUAUAACAGAAUUUUGGUCAUGGUAAACCAUAAAGAAAAUCCAUAAUAAAACCUCCCAAUUUUGUAAAGUUUAAUUUACAAUUCGAAACAUAAAAUAGAUAGACUGAGUAGCAAAUAAUAAAUUAACAAGCAAUACAAACAGAUAACAAUAUCACUCGCACUAGCCCACAACUAGAACUAAAAGUCAAAAACAAAUGAAAUAAGAGGCUAUUUGAGAAUUUUGCUAGCAUCAACUUUAAAGAAAGAUAACAGCUGGAAACAGAAUAAAGCAAAGGGGCAAGGCAAGAAAAGCCAUCCAAAAAGCUAAGCUAGAUAAAAAACAACCUUGCUCUGUCUCAAUUGAGCAAGGAGUCACCUCAAGGCACUUUGAAGCAUAAACCAUG
rnacentral:lncRNA from 1 species